UACAGAGGUCUCAAGCGUUGUUCGGAUUCAUUGGGCGUAAAGGGUGCGUAGGCGGCGCGGUAAGUCGGGUGUGAAAUCUCGGAGCUUAACUCCGAAACUGCAUUCGAUACUGCCGUGCUUGAGGACUGGAGAGGAGACUGGAAUUUACGGUGUAGCGGUGAAAUGCGUAGAUAUCGUAAAGAAGACCAGUGGCGAAGGCGGGUCUCUGGACAGUUCCUGACGCUGAGGCACGAAGGUCAGGGGAGCAAACAGG
rnacentral:rRNA from 1 species